AGGAUGAACGCUGGCGGCGUGCUUAACACAUGCAAGUCAAGGGGGCCCAGCAAUGGGUAACCGGCGAACGGGUGCGUAACACGUGAGCAACCUACCGAAUUGUGGGGGAUAGCCGGCCCAACGGCCGGGUAAUACCGCAUACGCUCGAGACGAGGCAUUUCGACUCGAGGAAACCUCGGGACAUUUCGAGGGGCUCGCGGCCUAUCAGCUAGUUGAUGAGGUAACGCUCACCAAGGCGACGACGGGUA
rnacentral:rRNA from 1 species